UUUUUUUUUUUUAAUUUCUGGGAUUUUUUGGGGGGGUUAUAUUUUAGGGUUCCUAUCUCUCUUGUUACAUUGCCCAUACAUUCUUGCAUGAUGUCUACUUUGUCCAUCAGAGCUCUUAGCAUAUUAAUCAUAGAUGUUUUAAAUUCCUGUCAGAUAAUUCCCAAAUCCCUGCCAUGUAUGAUGACUCUGUUACUCAUUCUGUCUCUUCAAACUGUGUGGGGUUUUUUUUUGCCUUUUAUACAUCUUGUAAUUUUUCCCUGAUAGCCAGACAUGAUAUACUUGGUAAAAGGAGCUGCUAUAGAUAAAGCUUUAGUAAUGUGGUGGUGAGGUGUGGGAGGAAGGCAAGCAUGGUCCUAUAAUUAGAUCUCAGUGUUUUCAGGAGCAUAUGUUUGCACUGUAAACUACACAAGCGUUUCUGCUUUUUCCUCCCCCUUUAUGUGGGACAGGAUGGCUAGAGUGGGUUGGAGUUGGGUAUUUCCCUUCUCCAGGUCAGUUAGGCUGUGACAACCCCCCGUUAGGUUAGGUUUUCAUUAGCUAGUUUCUUCUGUGACAGAUUUUGUUAAGAAGAACAGAGUUCUCUGGCCUAUUUCAAAAGGGCUCCUUUUGCCCUCCCCAUUUUUGGAAGUCCAAGGGAAUUUUUCUGAUAUUUACUACAGGACUCUGUUUGAUCUCCUAGAGAUAUAUCUCACAAUACUGUGGGACCUCCCAUGCCUGUAUCUCCCUGGAGUUUUUAACUCUCAGAGUUGUUCACACUGAAUCUACAGCAACUCUUCAAUUAUAAUUCAAGUUCUCUGGCCCAGCACUGGUUCUUGCAUUGUACAUCUCUGCUCUGUGAAUCUGUAACCCUAUAAUCAUAUUUUUCUCCAGCCUUGCAGAUAGCAGUUUUCCCUGUGUCUUCCCUUCUUUUGUGAUUCCAAGAAGAGUUGUUAAUUUUUCAGUUUAAUCACCUUUGUGUGUGGUUAGGACAGAGUGGUAAUUUCCAAGGCCUCUUAUAUGCAGAACUGGAAACCAGAAGUCUGAUUCUGUUACUUUACCAGGCAAAAGAGACACUGAAGGUGCAAUUAAGCUUAUUAAUCAAUUGGUCAAAAACUAGGGAGGUCAUCUAAGUGGUUCUAACCUAAUCAAACGAGUUCUUUAAAAGUAAAGAGUUUUCUUCAGCUGAUAUCAGAAGAGGAAGUAGGAGAGAAUUGAAACCUGAGGGGGAUUCAACAUAAGGGAGGCUCCUGAUGCUGAGAAGGUUAGUGCCACAUGGAAAACCUUUAGAGUGAACUAUACGAACCACGAGCAGUCCCUUGCCAAUGGCCAGCAAGAAGACAAACACCCUACUCCUACAGAGACAAGGAACUGAAUUUAAUCAACAACUUGAAUGAUGUGCUGGACUUCUAACCUACGGACUAGGAACUAACAGAUGGGCACUGUCUUAAGUUACUAAGUUUGUGAUAAUUUGUUACUCAGUAAGAGGAGCAAAUACACACAUCAACAACUGUUCCUACAUCAUAAAAAAGAGAAACCAGAUAUUAUGUGCCUCCUAAUGAAAAAAAAAAUCAAAAUAUAUAGAACAUAAAACAUAAUGGAGUCAAACAACAACAGAAAAAAAAAUGCAAAGAUCAUAUAAAGUCUGAAUAAGACUCUGGAUUCAGGAAUCAAUUUAUGGGAAAAUAGAAGAUAGAGGAAGAUGCUGAACUGUACCAUGUCUGUACAAAUGCAAAAAUCCAAAUUCUGAGAGAGCAAAAGAUCAAAUGCUCCAGGUUUUUCAAUAGAUAAGCUCUGAGAAAAUAAAGUGCUGAAGGGAGACCAUGUAGAUCAAAAUACCCUUAAUAGAAAUUUUUAAAGACUAAAUGACUAUAUCUACAGAUACACAUGUGAGUGAUAAACUAUAAAGUAGUGCAAAGAAAAAGGAUUACUAUAAUAAUCAAAUUUGCAUUUACUUUGCUGUGGGGGUGGGAGAGAAGAAUUUCAGAUAGGGAUAAAACCAAGAAAUACUUCUGCCAAAAUUCUAUUUCUUGACCUGAAUGUUGGAAAAUAUUAUAUUACACCCAAUGAAUAUUUGUUGAAUGAAUUAAUGAAUACAUUAAUCAAGUAUAAAACAGAGAUUUGGGUCUUCAUUAUUUUUCCUGACAGCCUAUAAUGCUGUUUAAAAAUUUAAACAACACAGUUCUCUUCACUAAGUUUAUGAUUAUGAUAUUUAACCAGGUGAAUCCCAAAGUCCUAAACCUAGAAGAGAAAGACCAUUUACCCAUUUCUUAGGAAUAUCAUUUCACCCCUAGUCCCUACAAAGAAGGUCAGACUGUAUAGUCUCGCACAAGAAACUCAGGUGAUUAUAGGGCCUGUGUAGGGAACUUAAAUGAGUGAAACUGGUAUAUAAAAAUGCUAUAUGGGAACAGGUGGUAAGACAUCAGUUUGGAGAAAAAUAGGGAGUGUAAGGGAUCAUGGAAAACUAGGAGUCACAGAGCUUUUCUGAAAAGUCAAAGACUGCUCUUUUAUAGCCUUUUUGCAGAUAUGGGGGAUUGGGGCCAAGUGUUGCCCAAGUGUUUUUCAAGAGAGUUUAGAUAUUUAAAGAUUUAUGUGAAAUUCCUCCCCCUUUUUUGUUAUUAAAUAAUUCAAAUAUAAAACACUGUGUGGGCCAAUGUCGUGAGUGCCAAACUAAACACUCUGAAGCCAGGUCCAGCCAAGAGGCUGCCAGUCAGCUACCUCUGGAUAAAUAUCCAGGACGGGGACUUGCAUGUUUCUGCUCUAUCAUCCCCUUGCUGCCACCCUGGCUGUUUCUAAUAUGCAGAUAUGUGCAAACUGUUUGUGUGCUGAUUCCUAAGCUAUAGAAGGUGUCUCAGUAGGGCCAUUUUCCUGAAACAGUCUUGGCAACAACUUAUCUGAAAGGCCUUCAACUAGAGCAGUUCUUUUCCUCAAACCAAAUUCUUAUUAAAUGGGUUUUACUCUGAAGGGGGCAGAAAAGGAUCAACUGGUAAGGAAGGAUAAGUUUCUCCAUGCAGAAAUAGUCAGGUCAUCUCUGUCCAAAGUUGUGGAAGACUGGGCAAUUCCUCAAACUGCUUGAUCCUCACAGCCUAGAUCUUUGGGUCACACAGGAGGAAAACAUUACCAACUUUCUGACUUAAAAUAGGGAGUCUGCAUGCAGCUCAGGGGUGCUGCAAUAUUGCGAUGAACAAAAGCACAUGCAGGAGCUGAACGCUGCCAAGUCUUCUUGACCACCAUUAGCACUGAGGCUUCACAUUAUUACAUUGCCGUCUACUGAGGAACUCCAAAACUACAAUUACACAGCUGGUACCAUUCAUCACUGUACCCUUGAGUGUGAAAAGAGAAUUGGAAAUUAUAGUCUAAAAUGGGCACAAAACUCCUACUGUAAAAUAAUAUUAUUUCCAGAAAUCCCAAAUUGUUAUAAUUUGGCUU
rnacentral:lncRNA from 1 species